rnacentral:lncRNA from 1 species
AAAUUUGUUUUCUCUUUGCCAAGAUUAUUCCCUAGAUUUGGUCGUUUUCUUGAACAAGAGCACUAAGUGAAAUCUCACUGAUGCUGCGUUAAAAUCCAACUCAUGAUGUCUUCUGCACCGGUGACUUAUUUCUCUGUUCUAGAUUAACCGUAACAUUAAUUAACCUUAGCAUUAAUUUUGUUCAUCUACUGACCCUCCCCCCUUUUUAUCCUUUGCAUGGAAUGUCUGUAUCUGAAUAUGAUAAUUUUAAAAUUAAGAUUUUACUCCUCACAUAUUAGGCUAUGAAGUAGGUAAAUAUGCUUUGAAUUUGGACUUUGCUGCUGUGAAUUCAAGAUAAGGUCUACCAUAAUUUGGCAGUUGCCUGUUAGUGAUUUGUAAGGUAAUCUUAUUCUAUAAUG